rfam:Idiomarina planktonica strain CGMCC 1.12458 genome assembly, contig: Ga0171582_14
AAUCAGGUCACCGGUUGAGUAUCCUAACGGGCUUUUCGUACUGGUGUACCUCAUAAACUAAAGGAGACGUGUUAGUGGCCCGUAUCGCUGGCAUUAACGUUCCUGAC